ACGUAGGUGGCAAGCGUUGUCCGGAUUUAUUGGGCGUAAAGCGAGCGCAGGCGGUUUCUUAAGUCUGAUGUGAAAUCCCACGGCUCAACCGUGGGAGGUCAUUGGAAACUGGGGAACUUGAGGGCAGAAGAGGAGAGUGGAAUUCCAUGUGUAGCGGUGAAAUGCGUAAAUAUAGGGAGGACCACCAGUGGCGAAGGCGACUCACUGGUCUGAACCUGACGCUGAGGAACGAAAGCGAGGGGAGCAAACAG
rnacentral:rRNA from 1 species